GCCGCGUUAGCUCAGUUAGUAGAGCAGCCGCCUUGUAAGCGGCAGGUCGUCGGGGCAGAGCCGACACGCGGCUCCA
rnacentral:tRNA from 3 species